AAAUAAAUAAAUAAAUAAUGAACAGUGCCGGACUAACACCAACAAGAGUUGAGUUGAAACUAGAAUUAACGGCUCAAAAUCCUCGACACCAAGUAAUCAACGAAUAAACUCCAUCGCCAAUCAAUUAGGAAGAAAGGGGAAAUUUGUGAAAAACUGAGCUCCUCGAAGCAACAAAAAACGCUAAUCCAAAUGCAUUAAAAAUGUGAAAACUUAGUUGUAAAUCAUAAUAGAAGUUACCAAAAGUUUGAUCUUUUAAAGCUCCUAACUGAGCUCGAAGAAAGAACUCAAGUUUUCGAGAGACAGAAAAAAGAGAUAGAGAGGAGCCAAGUGGGCGCAGAAGACGGCGAAAGGCCAGCAGAGAGAGUUGCAGUGGACCAAGACCAACACCACGCAAUACAAUUACAAGCCUUUAGCUUAAGUCCUUCUAGCUUAA
rnacentral:misc_RNA from 1 species